rnacentral:rRNA from 1 species
AUUCCAGCUCCAAUAGCGUAUAUUAAUGUUGUUGCAGUUAAAAAGCUCGUGGUUGGAUUUCUGGUCGGAACGCCGGUCCGGCUCCGCAAGGGGUCGUGUAUUGGUUUCUCCUGCCAUCCUCAGGGGGAGCUGCGCUGGUAUUCAUUUAUCGGCGUGGUUACGCCUGUCGUUUACUGUGAACAAAUUAGAGUGUUCAAAGCAAGGUGUACUUGAAUACAUUAGCAUGGAAUAAUAAGAUAGGACUUUGGUGGUUCUUUUUGAUAUUUUGUUGGUUUGCACGCCAAAGUAAUGAUUAAUAGGAGCAGUUGGGGGUAUUCGUAUUCAAUUGUCAGAGGUGAAAUUCUUGGAUUUAUAGAAGACGAACUACUGCGAAAGCAUUUACCAAGGAUGUUUUCAUUG